rnacentral:rRNA from 1 species
AAUGGUCGGGAGACUGAUCCAGCCAUGCCGCGUGCAGGAUGACGGCCUAUGGGUUGUAAACUGCUUUUAUACGGGAAGAACCCGCCUACGUGUAGGCGGCUGACGGUACCGUAAGAAUAAGGACCGGCUAACUCCGUGCCAGCAGCCGCGGUAAUACGGAGGGUCCGAGCGUUAUCCGGAAUCAUUGGGUUUAAAGGGUCCGUAGGCGGGCCUGUAAGUCAGGGGUGAAAGUUUGUGGCUCAACCAUAAAAUUGCCUUUGAUACUGCAGGUCUUGAGUCAUGGUGGGGUUGCCGGAACAUGUGGUGUAGCGGUGAAAUGCAUAGAUAUCACAUAGAACACCGAUCGCGAAGGCAGGUGACCAACCAUAGACUGACGCUGAUGGACGAAAGCGUGGGUAGCGAACGGGAUU